UACCUGGUUGAUCCUGCCAGUAGUCAUAUGCUUGUCUCAAAGAUUAAGCCAUGCAUGUGUAAGCACACACUGUUUUAAAAGUGAAGCCGCGAAUGGCUCAUUACAACAGCCACAGUUUAUUAGAACUUACAAUCAUGGAUAACUGUGGUAAUUCUAGAGCUAAUACACGCACAAAAACUUCAACUGAAUUGGUUGAAGUGCUUUUAUUAGAACAAAAACCGAACGGCGUUUGACGAAUGUUGAACGUCGAAACUGUUUGGUGAAUCUGAAUAACUAUUUCUGAUCGCAUGGUCUAGCACCGGCGACAUCACUUUCAAGUGUCUGCCUUAUCAACCUUCGAUGGUAGUCUAUGCGACUACCAUGGUGAUAACGGGUAACGGAGAAUCAGGGUUCGACUCCGGAGAGGGAGCCUGAGAAACGGCUACCACAUCCAAGGAAGGCAGCAGGCGCGCAAAUUACCCACUCCCAGCUUGGGGAGGUAGUGACGAAAAAUAACGAGACGAUUCUCGUUUGAGAAAACGUUAUCGAAAUGAGUACGCUUUACACACGCUAACAAGUAGCAAUUGAAGGGCAAGUCUGGUGCCCGCAGCCGCGGUAAUUCCAGCUCCAAUACCGUAUAUUUAAGUUUGCCUGCCGGUUAAAAAC
rnacentral:ncRNA from 1 species